rnacentral:lncRNA from 1 species
UUCCUGUUAUAUUGUUAGUUUCAUUUUGCAGUUGGAUAAAUAGGGUUAGAGAAUAGGAGGCUUUUCCAGAGUUAAGCAGCUAGAGAUAACAUCAUAAAUAUAGAAGAAAGUGGCUUCUGAAAGGUGUGUUAAAUGUGUAAAAGCUUACUUCCCUUCUCCCAUAAAAGAAGUUGGCGUAAAGGCAGUCUAGGCUUGGCAUGGUGUUUCCGAGACCAUGCUUCAAUCUUUCUCCUCCAGAAUCAUCAGACCAGUUUCUAACCUCAAGUUUACUGCAUGGUCCUACGAUGUCUGCUGGAAAGCCUGUCAUCACAUUCACAUUCCAGGCAGACAGCAGGCGCAAGUGGAUGAGGACAAAGAUCAUUUAUUCCCUCCCCUUUAAGACCCUCCUGAAAGUCAGUCACACAUGACUUUUCCCACUUCAUUGGCCAAAACUUUAUCUCUUGACCACUCCUGGCUAUAAAGCAGCUGGCAAUGCCAUCAUUUCAGGGGUUUAUAUGUGCUGUUCUAAAUACUGGGGUCUGUUCUUACGAGCAGAAAAGAAUGAGAGAAUGGAUAUUGGGAAGCAAGAGCAGCCUCUGCUCCAGCUAGAGAGGGGCAGAAAGACCCUGGUGUAUCCUCAGACUGCUGUACCCUAUGCCUGCUCACAGGACAGACAAGAGCCUUUUAAGGGUGAAGACAGGACUAGACCCCAGCCUCCUGGUCACAUGACUCAGAGAUCUCCCAUAUCCUUUUACCUUCUGUUGCAUGGAGUGGAAUGGGUCGGAGUUUGAGAUGUGGAUCUUUGUGUUAGUCUGAGACUUUUUCUGUGUGGGAGAGAUUGUAUCCUACACACAGUCUAGAAGACAUUGGGGAGGCCCUGAAGCAAUUACUAUUGCUAGAAAUAAAGUGUAGAGACAGAAGUGGGGAUGGGAUGGUACUAGAGAGUUAGGCACAAGUCGAGUGAUGAGAGGUUGAGUCUGGUCUGCACAGGAUCCUAAUAGAUCUUAACAGGCUGCAGCAAUGGUCUAAGCAUAAUGAGGCAAAACUGAAACUGAACAGGAACAGAACAUGUUACACCCGAGUCCAAAAGAAAACUAACAAGAUGCACUGAUGUGACUUAGUAUCUUCAGGAUAAAAAUGACAGAAGCACUUCAGUAAUAUCAGCCAUAAUGUGUAAGGGAGUUAUUUUGAUCUCAGCCUGCAGGAGCAGAGAAUUUCAACGAGGUGAGAGGCAUGCUUUGCCAUGCACAGGCUAGACCACACUUGUCAUGCUGCAUGUAGUUCUGAAAAGGACAGACCAAAGUUUUAAAAGGAGAGAAGCCAGGAUGGGAUUGAAGAAUCCUCAGGUUGUAUAUUUAACAUUUUUAUCAGUCACUUAGGUCACGCCUGCUUACCAAAUUUGUGGAUUACUCUAAUCUGACAGAGGUGGUAGAUACAGUGACAGGCAGAAUCAGUCAAAUAGAACAAUGAGCCAAUGCCAGGCUAUGAAAUUGAAAACAGAUCAAGGUAUCUCACCCCCAAAAAUGAUAAGUAUGUGAAGUAAUGCAUAUGUUAAUUAGCACUAUUUAGCCAUUUCAGAAAGCCUGCUUAUUUCAAACAACAUGCUGUACACAAUAAAUAUAUAUAAGAUCUGUGUCAACUAAAGAAUUAAAAUUAAAAUUAAAAGUCAAAGAAAAAAAAAGAAAAAAGUUUGGAAGAGCAAUCCAUUGUUCAAGAAAGGGAUGAGAGAGACCUGGUACAAUGGCUGUUCUAACAAAUCAGCACUUUAGUGGGCAGCAGGGCUCAUCAAAGUACCAGUGUGUCUGUGUGUGUCCCAGGCUGGUGGAUGGUGGGCUUCCAAGGAGCCUCCAGGCAGCACUGAUAUUCAUGACUUCACCCAAGCCAGGAUUUUGACCUUGGCUUUGUGGGUUUAGAUUUUCAAAGUGUUUGAGUUUCCUGGACUUGGGGAGGCUGACUCUCACUAACAAUGCUUUUAGGAGACUGCAGAUGCCGAAAGUAUUGAUUUUCAGCAUGAAUUCUACUUGUUAGGUACCUUAAACCUGAUCAGCAUACAUAUGGUUCUUCUUCCAUGUAAGAAAACCACAUGAGGAACCAAAUAAUACCUCUAAGGAGUUUUGAGGAGGAUGGAACUGAAAAGAGGGAUGUGAGUAGUGUGACUCGAAUGCUGUUAGAAGAGUCUGAUGUGUCCUUCUUCCUCAGGUGAAAGUUCUCAGACUGAAAACAUCUAGAUAACCUCUAGCUAUGCUAAGCCACAGGCACUUUUAUAGGCCUAGAACCUAUUUCGUGUCUUUAAGGUGACUUGACAGAGUGUGGUUUUGUCCUCUUAUUUUUUGACAUAUUCUGCAACUCAGGAAACAGUCUUGUUUCCCUUUCUCUAUAGCACUCGAGGUGCAUCAGUCUGCUCCUCCCUUUGCCUCAAGGUCCCACAGUGGCAAGGGGAGAGGAGACCAGUCUGGGGGGUCUGCUUAUUAAGCCUUCAUUGCUGUCUACCCCAAGAAAACUCAGAGUCACUGUCUCCUAGGCACUUCUCAGGUAGAAAGAAAUCUUUCCUUACCCUCCAAAUCUGCUAUCCUUCAGGGAUGGAUUCUCGGGUACCUUCGACCAGCUCCCUGCUCUGUUCCAGCUUCCUGGGCAUAAAGGCAAAUAAUCCCAACGUGUUUGGCUUUGACUUUUUCUCAUGGCCUCCUUUCCCAGUGGGUGGCCAUAUAUAUUCAUUCACAUGUCCAAGGGGAUUCCUCCUUCCAUCCCCCGUUUAUUGAUGUUCUUGUCACAUCUCCCUUAGGAGCUUGUUGUGUCAGUCAAGGUCCCAGCAAGAAACAGAUGGCACACUUACACUUGGAUAAUGUGAAAUGAAUUUAAUAAAGGACUACUUACAAAGCUGGGAGCAGGGCUUAGGGAAACCACGAAGAAUAGUCAAAUGCCAGAGGACUAUGAAAUCUAGGUGCUAUUGUAGGCCUGAAAGAGUGGAGAGAGGGGAAAGAGAGCCAGAAGACUGCGGGGGCUAUGCGGAAGAAACAUAGGAUUCCUGGCUUUCAACAGAACUGGCCCAUGGAAACCCCACGGCAAUAGUAAUAAAUGCCACACCCUCACUCACUUCUCUCCUUCCAAUCUCCUGCUGAUGCACAACACUGGCCAUGUGCAGUUGGUAGUCAGUGGUCAAGGGAGCCCAAGAGUGUGGUUCAGGUUCAGCUUCCCCAGGGAAUAGCAGGGUGGACAAAGAUAGAGAGUGGAUUUGGAUAGGCAAAUAGAAUAAUCCAGUAAAAACACUGAAGGCUAGACUUUGUUGUUAAUACCUGUAUUUUUUGGUUUCCCAUCCCACACAUAGUAGGUUUGCAGCAGUUGACUUGGCCAUGGAUUUCUUUGGUGGCUUCCCCCUUUCCAGUGACCCUGGGAGGCAUACUGCCCCCUGCACUGUGGAAUCUCUCAGCCACUUGGGUCUCCUUUGCCAAGGAGUGUCCUCCCUCUGGAACUCAAUACCAGCUCUUUCUUCUUCUGGAAUCUUCUCUCAGCUCU